AUUGAACGCUGGCGGCAUGCCUUACACAUGCAAGUCGAACGAGGGUAGCAAUACCUUAGUGGCGAACGGGUGAGUAAUAUAUCGGAACGUACCCUAGAGUGGGGGACAACCAGUCGAAAGACUGGCUAAUACCGCAUACGAUCUCUGGAUGAAAGUGGGGGACCGCAAGGCCUCACGCUCCGGGCGCGGCCGAUAUCUGAUUAGCUAGUUGGUGGGGUAAAGGCCCACCAAGGCUUCGAUCAGUAGCUGGUCUGAGAGGACGAUCAGCCACACUGGGACUGAGACACGGCCCAGACUCCUACGGGAGGCAGCAGUGGGGAAUUUUGGACAAUGGGCGCAAGCCUGAUCCAGCCAUGCCGCGUGCAGGAUGAAGGCCUUCGGGUUGUAAACUGCUUUUGUACGGAACGAAAAGGUUUGACUUAAUACGUUGGACUCAUGACGGUACCGUAAGAAUAAGCACCGGCUAACUACGUGCCAGCCGCCGCAGUAA
rnacentral:rRNA from 1 species